GAGAAUUCCGCAAGCAGCCAAGUAUCCACAGGCUAACAAGCUAACAGGCUAACAAGUAGAGCCUGUCUACAGGCUAACAAGCUAACAGGCUAACAAACUAUGUCUGACUAGUACAUGAACGAAUCUGGCGAGCCCUCGAGCCCUGAGUGGUGUUCGAUAUUCUUCAGCAUAAGACACAGGCAGCAGAUGAGCAUAAUUGGUCUCAGUACAGCAGCAAGGCGAGCUUAUACAGCUACGGUACAGACCCGAUACGUGUCAAACCCACAAAUGAAUUGACACUUUGGAUGCGUUUGUUCAUUUUAUGCCAGCACUAUGUCAUUACUGUGUUUAAACCUUCUUUGGCUGCCCCCAAAUGAUCAAUUAAUGUGGCUUUAAAUAUGUCUGUUGUCUUUCGAGGCUGCGGAAGGUGAAGGAGAUGGAUGAACAUUUCACUUAUACACUCAUACAGAGAAUAUGAUGCAGACCAACUGAAUGCAUGUUCAACCUGCGUUGAACCAACACUGUUAACAGAUACUCGGUGCAGGUCAAGUGAUGGUGCUUAUAUUACCUGUACAGUUUUACUUUUACUCAUUCCAAACAGUCCAAACGUCAUUUCUUGUGGACAAGGGGUUGUCUGAACUGUGACUAUAAAUUCUUUGAUGACAUGACUAUAAUUUAAAUCUUAAUUGUGUUAUUUCAAUCAUUUAGGGAAAUGGACAUUCAUUAAAGUUAAACUGUUGCAGAUCAUGUCAAUAUUCAGGAAUCAGUACAGAGAAGGAGCUGUCCAUCAUUUGUGCUUCAGUAUCUGUACCUGAUUUCCUUUUUCAGUGGUUCAGUUUUUUGAAAAUUCUGGCCUUCUGGUGAAAAAUGCCAGGUACUUUCACAGUCUGUUAGUUGGGUAUCCGUAUCAGCACCUUGAAAGUUAAAGCCACAGCAGUCUGUUGACACACACUUUAUCAGAGAAGUCAAACCAAGGACAUGAUCCCCCCCCACCCCCACCCACACCCCAGUGUGUGAAGUAGCAGCCUGAUGUUAGAGAAGUUUUACUCUCUGCUACGUUUGUGCUGGAGUUGAUCGCACCGCUUUGAUUUUUUGGGCUUCAAUAUAACCUCGUCAUAGAAGGUUGAACCAUGUUCUCUGGGAUUCUGGUGGUGGUGCUACUGGUCCUGCUCAUGUGUAGGCGGGUCCUGUGGCAUGGGAUAUGCAUCCUUAUUGGUCAGAUGUUGUUCAAGAAGCCUGUGAGGACUAGCGGAGUGGCCAGUGGGAGACAAACUGGAGACCUCAAGAAUGAAUAACUAAUAUGAACCUGAUUCUUCUGAAUUUCAUUGUGUUGUGUUCGUUUUUACUUUUCUUACAUUCCCAAAAAAGAAAGAAAUGAAAGAUUCACUCAGUCUGCCCAACCUAAACUCCAGUGUGGUGUGGGCAGUUCAAAGAGACAUCACAAAAGCGACCAAUCCUGUAUGCACCAAUGACUGAUUGGACUCACUAACUGAACUUCUCCACUGUCUCCUCCACCAACACAUAGGAGAAGACAUUUGGUUUAGUUAUUGGUGGUUGGUUUGGUCAACCUGUGUGAUUUUUUUGGCAAUUCAUCCAUCAUUUAUAGCAAAUUCGAACACCCAGACUUAACAGAGGUGAGAUAAGCAUGUCAUGUGGCAACCACCAGCUGACUGUGACUGGCACACCUCAACGCAUACUUCUGUCAAUAUUUCCUUGAUGUAAGAAAAAUGUUACCAAGCUAAUAAAAAGAUAAUGUAACAAUAAAUUUGUAUUUUGAAAGAGA